UUUAUACUCCCUCCGUCUGAAAUUACUUGUCAAAAAAUGGGUACAAAUGAAUGUAUCUAGAACUAAAGUACAUCUAUAUACAUCCAUUCAUAUGACAAGUAUUUCUAGAUGGAGGGAGUAUUAU
rfam:Hordeum vulgare subsp. vulgare, WGS project CAJW01000000 data, contig: morex_contig_1568248